UCAGCUUCGUUUAUUAUUUGAUCAGGCCUACCAGAUGCAACCUUCACUUAUGUUCCUGGAUGAGAGAGAUGGUAUUGCUCCCGUGCGAUCCAGUGAACAAGACCAAAUUCACAGUGAAUGUUUCACUAAGCGGCAUCUCAUGAAUAAAAGCUUGUCCUGUUUGAGCGAUCAUUGGAGAAGGUCAUGUGGAAUAUGGCGUAGGGAGCAGAGGAGACACUGUGGUCAUUGGGGCCACUGAUGGGCUGGAUGCUGUAGAUCCUGCUUUACGAAAACCCGGGCACUUUGAUCAAGAGCUCCUCUUUGUUUUGCCAGAUGAAGAGGUCAGAACUUAAACCCCACUUUCAUGCUAACGUGGCAAAGUCCGUCUUUACAACCAAACGAUGUAUCAACACAGUAUCACGGAGCAGUUCAAGUUGAAAUUGGGUGAAAUGCUUGGAUUGGAUUGAAGGUGAAAGCGCACUGAAGAGUGUAUCUGACAUAAAUGAUGGUUGUCUCCAGUUUUGAUCUGCUUUCAGCAACAGGAGAGGCAGAUCUAACACUGAUUCCUUACUGGGGAAGAAUUCUAGAAAUCUGCCAUCGUUAACCUGUGUGCCAGGAAAUACCGAACUGAAAGUCUUGCUAAGUCAGAGAGAACUCUUGGGACGGGCUAAAAUGCAACCACUUUGCGGGCUAGGAAAGGGAUUUUCAAGAUUCACACCCGAGACUGGACCCCUAAGCCACCAGUCACAUUUCUGGAUGCAGAAGCUGAACAAUGUGUUGGAAUAUGGUCGGUGCUGUUAUUAAAUCCUUAUGUGCUGAAGCUGCCAGCUGUGCUUUGCCUCACCACUAUCCUCAGAUAUACAAAACCAGGGAGAAACUGCAGUUGGAUAUUGCUUCUGUUAACGUAACAGCAAAGAGUUUUGUCCUGGCUGUGCAGAAAACUGUUCCAGAUUCACAGAGGGCUGUGGUUUCACCUGGGCGAGCGUGGUCACCUGUUGUAAACCCACUGCUUGAGAAGACACCAGCAAGAAUUUUGCAGGCCUUGCAGGGAGUCUUUCCCCACGCCGAGCUUGUGCUAAAGAAGGACCAACGGCAAGGUACAACACCACCACGGACUUCCUUAAAAUUCUGCCAAAGCAAAACCUUUGGAUUUGUGCAAUCAACACACUCAGACUUCUCAGCCCUAGUGACAGUAGGAUUUUAUAACGUACGUGUACAGCGCUGGCUGGAAGCUGAGAGUGACCCGCAGUACGCAGUAGGGAGCUCUGCAUUCUCUACUUGAGCACCCUGUUUUGGACAGUAGCUAACAUCGUAUUUAUCAUUGGUAGAGGUGGAUCUAAGGUUGAAUGUAUGAGGCACCUCAAUACUGAAAUGGGGGGAGAAGGGUGUUUUUACAUCAGUGCUUCUAAUUGCUGCCUGAAGCCUGUCAGGACCACAGCACAAGUGGCUGAAGCUAAAUCCUGGCUUAGCUAUUGUGGCUUUUAACCAUAGUCUCUGAAUUGAUGUGUUUGUGGAUCACACUGCACACUUGCACAUGAGAUCUGAAUGUUUUAGGAGUGUAUCGUUCGGGACUGGGCUUGCACAGCAUAUGUGAGCUCACGCUCCUGACUGCGGCAGCCCUUCCAAGACUGAAUCUGUCAUUUGUUGAGAACAAAUUAAUGGAGCAGCUCACUCAAUUCCUGAUUAAUGGAGAUCCGUAAAUAGUUAUGGUGCUAAUCUCUGAAGAAUAUCCUACCAGUAUUACUCCCAGCAGAACUGGUAGAUGGUUUGUGUUGGUAAAACAGAGGCAGAAAGCCACCACCAACAUAAAAGCAGGGACACUGGGGGACUGCUCAUUUCACCCCCUCUCUUUUUCCCAUUAUCUCUUCCUGUGGUGGUCUUUGAGGAGCCUGAUCUAGAAGAUGUGUUGGUCUGUGUAUUUUUGACUCACUAGUCCUAGACUACUGCUGUGUUUUUCUUAACUGGGAACAUUAAACCUAAACAGAUUUAGUGGUGUUUUCCUUUUUGCUUUUAGGCAGGAAAUCCAUUUUGUUGCUUGGCAUCCCUCUAUUAACAUAUUUUGACCUUAAGCAGCAGCAUUUGAGAGCUGUACACAAGUAAGCACAGGCACAUGACACGACUGAAGGCACAUUUGUCACAUAGGAGGGACAAUUCCUUUUUUGUGAUGUGGUGGUUGCGUCUAUGGUUGUAUACCUGCCACGUCUAGUCACUGCCCACAUAUCCCACAUGAGCAUCCCUUCUUGUGACAGGAACUCUCCGGAUCUUGAUAAUCUGGAAGGGUGCACGGAGAGAUUUGUCAUGUGAAAGGACUGUUGCCACUUCCCUCAUGCAGUAGAUGCACGUUGUCUUCUGCGAUUGAGGCAAUGGCUUGUGGUCUUCCAAAGCAUGUCAUCUGGUCUGAUGGAUCCUCUGGUAACGAGAGGCUGGGAGUGACUCAGCUCUUCAGGCAGGCUAAAGACUGGUCAUCUCUUCUGAAAUGUCCUGGAAAUUAUGAAUUGUGACCAGGUUUCUUUUACAACAUCAGCCCUCCUCUUUCCACAUAGGUCUUUCUUUGUGCAGGCUGUGCUCCAGGCUGACUUGGCUAUGUGUCCCCUCUGAACUGAAAAUGGUGGAGUUUCAGUCGUGUAGCCAUUUAUCCAGACCAAUAAUGCAUCUUGCUGAAGGGUUAGUCUCGUUUUUCCAGGCACAACACUACACCGGCUGAGUUGUGAGGCUUUUUAGGAGGUACCUUGCACCUAAGUGGUUUGGAAAUGAAGAGAGAUUCAGGUCUACUUCUGCCUGCAUAGAAAUGUCUGUAUUGGAGCCAGAGUGAAAAUGUUACCUUAUUGUGAAGGAGUUGUUCUUUUGUUGGUUUGGUUUGAUCUUUUGGCUUCACAUGCUUGUUUUCCGUAAGGUAGUUUGACCGAUACGUAAUUCUUUCUUAGCCUCUUCUACAUGGUCUGGUUUUCCUCCCCAAGCUUUCAUGUUCCCAGUUGGUGCGAGAAGCUCAAAUGACAGCACCAAGUAUAAUUUAUAUCCCACUUAUCCAUUUGUGGUGGGAGGCUGUUGGAGCUCCAUUGAAAGCUGCUUUUACAAUGCUACUGUGGAACAUUUCGGCAUUUGCUCCAGUUUUGCUGCUUGCAACAUCUGGUGUGUGUCACGCAGAUCUCCCAGAAGAGGUAUUUCUCUCAAUACUUUUCUUACUUUUUUAUACGAUUCCUGUUAAUUUACCGAUCCUUUAAGCAUUGGAGUACUGUGCACUCUGAAGCAAAUUCCUACUGUUAUUCCUCAGGCACCCUAGCUUAGACAAAACAACGCUGAAAACAUUUGGCUCAAGUGUUUUCCGAGGCAACAGACUGAUUUUGUCCCAACUUGUUCUCCCUCGCCACACACUCAUGCUGCUUAGACGGCUGUAUAAACUUACUUCAGGCAGUCAUUCCAGUGACUUCAAGAUGGAUAGGUGUGUACUUCAUUAAGAAUAUAUGGUGCUUGAAAUGUAAAUGGGAAAAAAGAGACUUUUACUGGAAAAGGAAGGUGAUCACACUGUUAGUGAUGCAAUGUAAUUACAAAUUUAAAUUCUUUAAUAAAAAUUUUAAUUUCUUUCUCCAUAGAGGUGAAAACUUUAUAAAUUCCAUUUAAGUAACUUGGAAAUGAAUUUUACCUUGUAUUCCUUAACAACACUCAGUAAGAGUACAUGCCUAGCUUUCUAGGCAUCUGAGAGUGUGCAUUUAAGGAAGGUGUUCAAAACCCGAAGUUGCUGCUCUGAUUAUUUUUUGUCAGUUACUGCGGGGGAGGAGAGGGGGCUUACCUAGAUGAAUUUAUCAACUGCUUUGAAAGAGCUUAACAUUCUACAGAGGUUUUUAGAUUGUUAAUAAGUUCCUUCUAAAAUAAGUACUGAAAUUCCUUCCAUCCCUUUUGGUAGUACAGAUUGAUAAAACAAAGCAAACCUUGGAAUUCUGCAACUUCAGGCACCUCAUGCGAAUUAAUAAAACAUGAAAACAAACGCCAAAUGACCACCUUAACAAAAAGCCUGCCCUUGACUGCUGAACCCUGCUUGUUCCCUCUAUAGCUGCCAUAAAGCUUCAAACUGAAGGACAGAAAGCUGGGUAAAUAACAGAUAAGUAAUCUUGGAGGUGGUGAAUGCCACCACUUUAUCAGUGUAUCACACGGUCCCUCCACUGAGCUUUAAAUCUAGAGGUGUUCCUUAGAGAAGGUAAUUUAAUUUGCUGUGCUAACCUGGGAACACCUAGUCUUUUAAGGAGAAGAAGACAACUUUUAACAGUCUGUCUUACCAGAUGGUUCUUGAGUUGAAUUUAGAGAGGUGCUCAUCUUUUCGGAAUAGAAUAUAAAUUUCUGUGGCCUUACAGCUGGUGUGUCUUUUCUCCUCAUGUUUCAGGUAGAAGAAUUCUUUGUUGAUGGUUAUGAUACAGUUUUCAAAAUCCAGUUGCCUAAUAAGGAAGAAAGAAGGAAUUUUUUUGAGGCCUUAGUUGUAAAUCAAGCUGUUCAACCUCCUGCGCCAAAAGAGAA